GACGAACGCUGGCGGCGUGCUUAACACAUGCAAGUCGAACGCUGAAGCCCAGCUUGCUGGGUGGAUGAGUGGCGAACGGGGGAGUAACACGUGAGUAACCGGCCCACCUCUUUGGGAGAACGCCCGGUAACGGGUGCUAACACUGGACAUUCACUGUUUCGCGCUUGGGGGUUGGUGGAAAGGUUUAGUCUGGUGGGGGAUGGUCUCGCGGCCUAUCAGCUUGUCGGUGGGGUGAUGGCGUACCAAGGCGUUGACGGGUAGCCGGCCUGAGAGGCUGACCGGGUAUGUUGGGACUGACAUACGGCCCAGGCUCCUGCGACGGCCCGCAGUCGGGCAUGUUGCACCAUGGGCGAAAGCCUGAUGCUGCGCCGCAGCGUGAGGCAUGGAGGCCUUCGGGUUGUAGACCGCUUUCGCUCUGGAUCGCGCCGCUGCUUUGGGUUGUGGUGAGGGUAGUGGGUGAAGAAGCGCCGGCUAACUCCGUG
rnacentral:rRNA from 1 species